CUUAUAGCGGCGAGCGAAUAGGGAAAAGCCCAGCACCGAAUCCUGCGUUCAAUAACUGAACGCUGGGAAAUGUGGUGUUAGGGAGGAUCCGUUAUCUUAGAAUUAUACAGUAUGUCCAAGUCCAUCUUGAACGGGGCCACAGCCCAUAGAGGGUGCCAGGCCCGUAGUGACUACUGUCGAUUUUAAGAGGAUCUCUCCUUAGAGUCGGGUUGCUUGAGAGUGCAGCCCUAAGUGGGUGGUAAACUCCAUCUAAGGCUAAAUAUAACCACGAGACCGAUAGCGAACAAGUACCGUGAGGGAAAGUUGAAAAGAACUUUGAAGAGAGAGUUCAAUAGUACGUGAAACCGUUCAGGGGUAAACCUGAGAAACCCGAAAGGUCGAAAGGAGAGAUUCAGCGUGUCUCGGUUUGAAUUGUAUUGUGAUGGUUAUGUGACGGAUGAUAACGUUCAUGUGUUUGCGCAUAUGUUACGUAUAUAUCUGCUAUUUCCAUUCAAUGAAAACAAUUAUCGAACGCGUGCACUUCUCUUCCAGUAGGACGUCGCGAUCCGUUGGGUGUUGAUUUAAGAGCUGUAGUGGUGACCGUUUAUUUAUUUCUUGCAAAUAAUAAAUGAACCUACAGUUUUCAAUCUAAUCAACUUGCUCGACGGUAUCACAUUAUUUUAAUGGUGUUAAGACGCUAUUAUAGCGUUUGGCAUGUGGCAAGCAUGUUUGUUGUUAAAAAUAGUCAUCGGACUUUGUGCCGAUUCUAUUCUCAAACAGUUGUUGGCUGCAUUGUUCUCAAACAGAUCUUUUCACUAAUCAGCGACGCUAUAGCUUUGGGUACUUUCAGGACCCGUCUUGAAACACGGACCAAGGAGUCUAGCAUGUGCGCAAGUCAUUGGGAUUAAAUUAAACCUAAAGGCGCAAUGAAAGUAAAAGUUUGUUGUUAUUUUUUUUCAAAAAUGGCAAAAACAAACAGACAUAGGGAAGAUGAGUAAUUGUUAAAUUAUUUAAUAAUUUACUUCGCAUUCCCGGGGCGUCUCUAUCUUAUUGCAAGAAGAGGCGCACCAAGAGCGUACACGCUGGGACCCGAAAGAUGGUGA
rnacentral:rRNA from 1 species